rnacentral:rRNA from 1 species
UACAGAGGGGGCGAGCGUUGUUCGGAAUUACUGGGCGUAAAGGGCGCGUAGGCGGUCUGCUAAGUUGGAUGUGAAAACUCUGGGCUUAACCCAGAGCCUGCAUUCAAAACUGACAGGCUAGAGUUCUGGAGGGGAUAGCGGAAUUCCUGGUGUAGCGGUGAAAUGCGUAGAUAUCAGGAGGAACACCGGUGGCGAAGGCGGCUAUCUGGACAGAGUCUGACGCUGAGGCGCGAAAGCUAGGGGAGCAAACAGG